UAGCUUGGUGGCUAUAGCGUCAGUGACCCACCCGAUCCCAUUUCGAACUCGGACGUGAAACCUGUCCUGCGCCGAUGGUACUGUUGCUUAAGCAACGGAAGAGUAGGUCGUCGCCAGGCUU
rnacentral:rRNA from 1 species